rnacentral:rRNA from 1 species
UACGUAGGGUGCGAGCGUUGUCCGGAAUUAUUGGGCGUAAAGAGCUUGUAGGUGGUUUGUCGCGUCUGCUGUGAAAAUCCGAGGCUCAACCUCGGACUUGCAGUGGGUACGGGCAGACUAGAGUGUGGUAGGGGGAGACUGGAAUUCCUGGGUGUAGCGGUGGAAUGCGCAGAUAUCAGGAGGAACACCGAUGGCGAAGGCAGGUCUCUGGGGCCAUUUACUGACACUGGAGAAGCGAAAGCAUGGGGGAGCGAACAGG